rnacentral:pre_miRNA from 1 species
AAUUUCAGCUGAAAAAGUCAUCAACAACAAAGUUGUAUAACUUAUCAUGAUUUAUAACUUUUAUUUUGUUCAUUUCUUCAUCCAACAAAGUGAUAGUAACAUUUUCACAAAAAUUACAUAUCUCUCUUUUAUUAUAUAAAGUUAAUAAGAGAUGUGUAAAUUUUAUGAACAAUGUAACUAUCACUCUGUCGGAUGAAGAAAUGACCAAAUAAAAGUUAUAUAUCUCGAUGAGUUAUACAACUUUGUUGUUGAUGACUUUUUAGUUGAAAUC